ensembl:lncRNA
CACACACACAGUUACUGUAGCAUCUCAAUAACACAGUGACUCUCUAAACCAUCUGAAUAAGGUGGGACGGAUGUCACUGUUCUGGUCUCCUAAAGGUCUGUCUGUCUGUUCUGUUCUCCUAAAGGUCUGUCUGUCUGUUCUGUUCUCCUAAAGGUCUGACUGCUCUGUUCUGUUCUCCUAAAGGUCUGUCUGUCUGCUCUGUUCUCCUAAAGGUCUGUCUGUCUGCUCUGUUCUCCUAAAGGUCUGACUGCUCUGUUCUGUUCUCCUAAAGGUCUGUCUGUCUGUCUGUCUGUCUGUUCUGUUCUCCUAAAGGUCUGUCUGUCUGUCUGCUCUGUUCUCCUAAAGGUCUGUCUGCUCUGUUCUGUUCUCCUAAAGGUCUGUCUGUCUGUCUGCUCUGCUCCUCUAAACCAUCUGAAUA